GGAAUCUUCCACAAUGGACGAAAGUCUGAUGGAGCAACGCCGCGUGAGUGAUGAAGGUUUUCGGAUCGUAAAACUCUGUUGUAAGGGAAGAACAGGCAUGAGAGGUAAUGCUCAUGCUAUGACGGUACCUUACGAGAAAGCCACGGCUAACUACGUGCCAGCAGCCGCGGUAAUACGUAGGUGGCAAGCGUUGUCCGGAAUUAUUGGGCGUAAAGCGCGCGCAGGCGGCCUUUUAAGUCUGAUGUGAAAGCCCCCGGCUCAACCGGGGAGGGUCAUUGGAAACUGGAAGGCUUGAGUACAGAAGAGAAGAGUGGAAUUCCAUGUGUAGCGGUGAAAUGCGUAGAGAUGUGGAGGAACACCAGUGGCGAAGGCGACUCUUUGGUCUGUAACUGACGCUGAGGCGCGAAAGCGUGGGGAGCAAACAGGAUUAGAUACCCCAG
rnacentral:rRNA from 1 species